rnacentral:snRNA from 1 species
GGAUGUGAGGGCGAUCUGGCUGCGACAUCUGUCACCCCAUUGAUCACCAGGGUUGAUUCGGCUGAUCUGGCUGGCUAGGCGGUUGUCGCCUUCCUUCCUCACCGCUCCAUGUAUGUCCCUCUCGACUGCGCGCUAGGUGGAAGAGGACGACCAUCACCAAUAGAGGAGGACUGUUCUUCAGUCAAGGGUAUAUGAGUAGCUGCGCUCCCCUGCUAGAACCUCCAAACAAGCUCUCAAAAUACCCUAAAGUAUAUCUUUAGUAUGAAGGUUAACGCUGGAUCUUGGAAGUUAAGCAGGGUUGGGCCUGUCUACGGGCCAUACCAC